rnacentral:rRNA from 1 species
GACGAACGCUGGCGGCGUGCUUAACACAUGCAAGUCGAACGAUGAAGCUGGAGCUUGCUCUGGCGGAUUAGUGGCGAACGGGUGAGUAACACGUGAGAAAUCUGCCCUUGACUCUGGGAUAACUGCGGGAAACUGUAGCUAAUACCGUAUACUUUGCCUGGUGGGAAUCCACUGGGGAAGAAAGCAUUUCGGUCUAGGAUGAUCUUGGGGGCUAUCCGCUUGUUGGUGAGUUAAUGGAUCACCAAGGCGACGACGGGUAGCCGGAUUGCGAGGGUGACCGGCCAUACUGGGACUGAGACACGGCCCAGACUCCUACGGGAGGCAGCAGUGGGGAAUAUUGGACAAUGGGCGCAAGCCUGAUGCAGCAACGCCGCGUGAGGGAUGAAGGCCUUCGGGUUGUAAACCUCUUUUAGCAGGGAAGAAGCGAAAGUGACGGUACCUGCAGAAAAAGCACCGGCUAACUACGUGCCAGCAGCCGCCGUAA